AUUUUUCUUCGCAAUAUGAACUGCGGACCAAUUUUCCAUGUACAUUAUAAAUGUAACUACAUUUAUAAUGUACGUGGAGAAUCGAUCCGUAGUUCAUAUUGUUACGAAUUAAAUUUUUUAGG
rnacentral:miRNA from 1 species